rnacentral:lncRNA from 1 species
AUGGAGAAUAUUCAAAGAUGUCUAAUUCCACGUGUGCUUAAAGGAAUUCAUCUAGGAAAAUAUGGGGGGCAAUUUCAAUUGAGAGAGAAAUUUAAGACAACAGAGUAUCAUGUAUGGAGUCGAUUGAAUAGGAAAAGCCUUUGGAGGAAGGAGACCUCGUUCUGUGAUAGCAAGGUGGCAGAGACAGAUGGACAGAAAGCUUAACUGCACAAUCUACUUUGACUGGCUAAAGACCAAAAUAAACCUUAAUUUAUGAUUUAUCAUUCUGCAAUUGGUUAUCGCAAUGGAUGCUUUGGUAGAUUCCCUAAACUCCUUCCUCAAGACCAUCCAGCAGUUACUGGAAAUAACAGCAACUGACCACACAGAGCUCAAUCCCUCAAGAAGAGUUGUGCUCAGCUACAAGGAGCUGCUUUACCACAGGUGACUAGGGGCAAUCCAUGGCCAAUGACUGCCUAAUGAAGGGAUACAAUGGCCCUGCCUCAAGUUGGGACAACUUUAAAGGCCCACCUCAUCUCUAGAGUUCCCAAGAGCAUUGGCUGAAGUCUGAGAUGCAACUGCAUUACACGUUAUCUUGUAUCCCUCUGCCCAGGCCCUGUCAUCACUUGUUCAUAUGUGUAUGUUCUACUAGAGGACCCCAUAAGCAACCUAUGUGAAAUUGUCUGUCACUUAAUAGGGAACUCAUUUUUCUGAUACAGAAAAAACUUAGGUCCUGCAUUUUACAAAAAUAUGAGAUAAAGGAAUUUUCCUCCUUGAGUUUUGAAAAGAAUAAUCUGAAAAAGCUCAAAAACACAACGAAGAAUAAUUUCAUCGGGUUUAUGAAAACUUCUCAUUUUCAAUACAAUAAAUAUCAUGAGAUAGAAAUGACACUUGUCCUCACAAUAUCCAAGAUAGAGACUUACUUCAGAUUUUUCUAGGUGGAAUUGGCUGGGAUUGCAUAUAUUUGAUAAGUGCUAAAUCUAAAGAGUUUAACCUUUAAGCCAUUUACAGGCAGGACUGUGUAUAAUUCUUAGGUAAAACAGGAGAUACAUAUUUUGUAUUUUUUAUUUUAAAAAUAGAAGUGGAGAAUCAAAAGGUGUAUUGUGAAAAUGAGAACAGCAAGUUGCAUAUAUAUCUAUAGUACAGUUUUUAUAAGUGCAAAGGCACCAAAAUCCUUAAGAAGCUUGUGUAUAUAUUUGUAUAUAUUUGAGGUUGAAGAAACUUAUGUAACAGGCAUUAACUAUCAUAAGGUGAAACUAGUAGAAAGGAAAGUUAGCAAGAGUGUGAAUACAGUCCUUUAAAAGGUUUAAAAUAAUCAUUAUUCCUCUAUAUUAUUCUAGUGUUUUUUCCUGGUUGAAGUUAAGCGGUAUGAGGUCCAUAAUUUUGGAAGAGACAUUAGAGAUUUAAAAUGAAAUAGAACAAUGCCUUUAAUAUAAAAAACAGACUACAGAAAACUAAAUAAAAAUUUUGUUCAUUGUAAUGUGAUACCGGCUGAUGUUGAUAUUACUGAAAGGAUGGCUCUAAGUUCACAGUGGAAUUGACUGUAAACAGAAGCAAUAGUUUCAAAGAACUGUGGUAAGCAUAAACCAAAUUGGGUUAUAAUUGAUGACAGAAUUUUAAAAUGUUUCUUUCCUAAAGUGAUGCCUAUAUUACUGUUGACUAUUAAGUUAUUUAUUUUUCUUAUUUCUGUCUUCAAAACCAUGUUUAAAGAAGUAGCAGAGAUAGAGCAUGUCAUGUUUAAAACCCCUCAAAACUCCCCGUAACUUUCAGGGUAAAAUCCAGACUCAUUAAACUGGAAUGUAGGUCUCAUAUAUCCUUUCUGCUUACUCUUUAACUUCAUCUCCCCCUCCGCCCCCUCACGUGGUUUACUUCAGCCUUCAGAUUGUGAGAGGCCUUCAAGGGUAUCUGCUUCUGUAUCUUUGUACAUUUUGCUUCCUUAUGCUAGAAAGUUCUAUCCACCAAGUUCCACUUUCCCAGAUCAGUUUUAUUCCUCCUUUACUAGUAAAGCAAAAGCAAGAUAUCUUCUUCUCUAGGUAGGAUUUUUGUGCUUCCAAACAUUAGCCUGGAUUAGGCGCCUUCCCAGCACAUCCCCUCAUAUCUCAGGGUUUUUCUUUUUCAUGGCAUUCAUCCCAGUGAAUUCCUUUUUUUUAGCUUUAUUGAAGUUUAAUUGAUAUACAAUAAACUGCACAUUUUAAAGUGUAUAAUUUAAUGAGCUUUGACAUAUGUAUAGAGCCAUGAAACCAUCACCACAAAUCAAGAUAAUGAACUUUUUCUGUCACCCACAAAAAUGUCUUCAUGUCUUUGUAUUUCCCCCUAUCCCUCCCUACCCUCCCUGUGCAUCCCCCAGGCUACCACUGAUCUGCUUUCUAUCAUGAUAGAUUAGUUUGGAUUGUCUAGAAUUUUAUAUAAAUGAAACCAUACAAUGUACUCUUUUAUCUCUGGCUUUUUUCACUCAGCAUGAUUAUUUUUGGAUUCAUCAAUAGUUUAUUUGUUUUCUAUUUCUGAAUAGUAUUCCAUUGUAUGGUUAUACCAAGAUUUGUUUAUCCAUUCACCUGAUAGACAUUAGUGUUGCUUCCAGUCUGGGGCUAUUACCAAAAAAGGUGUUCUGCAUAGUUUUGUACAUCUUUCUGUGGACAUAUACUAUUAUUUUUCCUGUGUAAAUUCCUAGGAUUGUGUAUUAAUUUCUAGGGCUGUUUUAAUAAAAUAUGGCCAAUUGUGUGGUUUAAAAUAAUAGAAAUUGAUUUGCCCACAGUUCUGGAGGCUAGAAGUCCAAAAUCAAGGUGUUAGCAUAGUUAUGUUCCCUCCAAAGGCUAUAAGGAAGAAUUCUUCUUUGCUUCCUCUAGAUUCUGAGAUUUCUUGGCAUUCUUUGGCAUUUUUGAUAUUCCUUGGCUUGCAGAUGGAUCACUCUAUCUAUGUAUAGCCUUCAAUUCUAUGUAUUUGUGUCUCUGUAUCCAGAUUUCCCUCUUCUUAUAAGAACACCAGUCAUAUUAGAUUUAGGGCCCACUUUAAUCAAGUAGCAUCUUAUCUUGAGUACAUCUGCAAAGACCCUAUUUCCACAUAAGGACAUAUUUAUAGGUUCUGAGUAGAUAUGAAUUUAAAAUUUUUUUUGACUUUAAAUUCAAUUAAUUAAUGUGUAAUGUAUAAUUAAUUUCAGAUGUAGGGGUCAGUGGUUCAUCAGUCUUAUAUAAUACUCAGUACUCAUUACAUCACAUGUGGAUGUGAAUUUUGAGGGGAUACUAUUCAACCCAAUACAGAGCCUAGCAUUUCUUUGGACAAGAUUAAUCCAUCUUGUAUAGAUAUUUUGCAAAUAUAUUCUCCUAGGAAGGGCUUGCCUUUUCAUUUUUACGUCAAUGUCUUUUGAAGAGCAAAGUUUCCAACUUUGAUAAACUCCAAAUUAACUGCUUAUUUAUUCUAUAGUUUGUCCUUUUGUAUUGUGUUUAAGAAACAUAAAAGAUCAUUAAGAUUUUUCUCUUAUGAUAUCUUUUAGAAGUUUUCCAGGCUUAAAUCUAUGAACCAUUUAAAGUUAAUUUUUGUAUAUAUUGUGAAUUAAGAAUAGAGGUUUGUUUUUGUUUGUUUUGUAAUAGUUAUACAAUUGUUUAGCACCAUUUGUUAAAAAUAUUAUUCUUUCCCCGUUGAAUUGUCUUGGUAUUAAAAACAUAAAUUGAAUGUAUUUACAGGUCUAAUUCUAGACUCUAUUUCUGUUCUGUCGUUGAUCUAUUUUUUAAGUCCUUAUGCCAAAACCAUACUUCCCUGAUUAUUCUAAUUUUAUAAUAAGUCUUAGAAUUAGAUAAUAAAUCUUCUAACUUUAUUUUUAUAAAAGUUGUUUUUAUUAGUUCUAGACCCCUUGUGAGUCUAUAUAAAUAUAGAAUUUUAUUGCUGGAGUUUUCAUUGAGAUUGCAUUAGAUCUAUAGAACAAUUAAGGAGAAUUGGUAUCUUAACAACAUUGAGUCUUCCAAGAUAUACAUUCAAUUGGAUCUUUAAAUUCUCAGCGAUGGUUUUUAGUUUUCAAUAUACAGAUGCUGUAUACAUUCUAUCAGAUUUAUUCCUAUUUCUUAUUGUUGAUGCUACAGUUGACUUUUGAACAACACAAGUUUGAACUGUAUGGGCCCAUUUAUACAUGGAUUUUUUUCAUUAACAUUGUACAGUAUUGUAAAUGUAUUCUCUCUUCCUUAUGACUUUCCCAAUAACACUUUUUCUCUAGCUUACUUUACUGUAAGAAUACAGUAUAUGAUAUAUAUGCAUAUAUAUAUAACAUAUAAAAUAUGUUAAUUGGCUGUUUAUAUUAUCAAUAAGGCUUCUAGUCAACAGUAGGCUAUUAGUAGUUAAGUUCUGAGGGACUCA